rnacentral:rRNA from 1 species
UGCAAGUCGAACGGUGAAAGAGGAGCUUGCUCCUCUGGAUCAGUGGCGAACGGGUGAGUAACACGUGAGUAACCUGCCCUUGACUCUGGGAUAAGCACUGGAAACGGUGUCUAAUACCGGAUACGAGCUUCAGCCGCAUGGCUAGGAGCUGGAAAGAAUUUCGGUCAAGGAUGGACUCGCGGCCUAUCAGCUAGUUGGUGAGGUAAUGGCUCACCAAGGCGACGACGGGUAGCCGGCCUGAGAGGGUGACCGGCCACACUGGGACUGAGACACGGCCCAGACUCCUACGGGAGGCAGCAGUGGGGAAUAUUGCACAAUGGGCGCAAGCCUGAUGCAGCAACGCCGCGUGAGGGACGACGGCCUUCGGGUUGUAAACCUCUUUUAGUAGGGAAGAAGCGAAAGUGACUGUACCUGCAGAAAAAGCACCGGCUAACUACGUGCCAGCAGCCGCGGUAAUACGUAGGGUGCAAGCGUUAUCCGGAAUUAUUGGGCGUAAAGAGCUCGUAGGCGGUUUGUCGCGUCUGCUGUGAAAACUGGAGGCUCAACCUCCAGCCUGCAGUGGGUACGGGCAGACUAGAGUGCGGUAGGGGAGAUUGGAAUUCCUGGUGUAGCGGUGGAAUGCGCAGAUAUCAGGAGGAACACCGAUGGCGAAGGCAGAUCUCUGGGCCGUAACUGACGCUGAGGAGCGAAAGCAUGGGGAGCGAACAGGAUUAGAUACCCUGGUAGUCCAUGCCGUAAACGUUGGGAACUAGAUGUAGGGGCCAUUCCACGGCUUCUGUGUCGCAGCUAACGCAUUAAGUUCCCCGCCUGGGGAGUACGGCCGCAAGGCUAAAACUCAAAGGAAUUGACGGGGGCCCGCACAAGCGGCGGAGCAUGCGGAUUAAUUCGAUGCAACGCGAAGAACCUUACCAAGGCUUGACAUAUACCGGAAAAGUUCAGAAAUGUUCUCCCCGCAAGGUCGGUAUACAGGUGGUGCAUGGUUGUCGUCAGCUCGUGUCGUGAGAUGUUGGGGUUAAGUCCCGCAACGAGCGCAACCCUCGUUCUAUGUUG